AACUGGAGUGAUGAAAAAGUAUCCUUAGGUGUGGUGGUGGCCGUCUUGGCCGCUUGCGUGCCACUUGCCAAUGUUAGGACUUGUCAUAGUUACACUGACUGUGU